rnacentral:rRNA from 3 species
UGGGGAAUAUUGCACAAUGGGCGCAAGCCUGAUGCAGCCAUGCCGCGUGUAUGAAGAAGGCCUUCGGGUUGUAAAGUACUUUCAGCGGGGAGGAAGGGAGUAAAGUUAAUACCUUUGCUCAUUGACGUUACCCGCAGAAGAAGCACCGGCUAACUCCGUGCCAGCAGCCGCGGUAAUACGGAGGGUGCAAGCGUUAAUCGGAAUUACUGGGCGUAAAGCGCACGCAGGCGGUUUGUUAAGUCAGAUGUGAAAUCCCCGGGCUCAACCUGGGAACUGCAUCUGAUACUGGCAAGCUUGAGUCUCGUAGAGGGGGGUAGAAUUCCAGGUGUAGCGGUGAAAUGCGUAGAGAUCUGGAGGAAUACCGGUGGCGAAGGCGGCCCCCUGGACGAAGACUGACGCUCAGGUGCGAAAGCGUGGGGAGCAAACAGGA